AGUGGCAAACGGGUGAGUAACACGUGGGUGACCUGCCUUCGAGUGGGGGAUAACGUUUCGAAAGGAACGCUAAUACCGCAUAACAUCCUGUCUUUUAAGAGACGGACAUCAAAGCCUGGGACCGUAAGGCCAGGCGCUUGAAGAGGGGCCCGCGCCUGAUUAGCUAGUUGGUGGGGUAAUGGCUCACCAAGGCAACGAUCAGUAUCCGGCCUGAGAGGGCGGACGGACACACUGGGACUGAGACACGGCCCAGACUCCUACGGGAGGCAGCAGUGGGGAAUUGUUCGCAAUGGGCGCAAGCCUGACGACGCAACGCCGCGUGGAGGAUGAAGAUCUUCGGGUCGUAAACUCCUUUCGAUCGAGACGAAUGGCCUUUGGGUUAAUAGCCUGGAGGAAUGACGGUACCGAGAGAAGAAGCCCCGGCUAACUCCGUGCCAGCAGCCGCGGUAAUACGGGGGGGGCAAGCGUUGUUCGGAAUUACUGGGCGUAAAGGGCUCGUAGGUGGCCAACUAAGUCAAACGUGAAAUCCCUCGGCUCAACCGGGGAACUGCGUUUGAUACUGGAUGGCUUGAGUUUGGGAGAGGGAUGCGGAAUUCCAGGUGUAGCGGUGAAAUGCGUAGAUAUCUGGAGGACACGGGUGGCGA
rnacentral:rRNA from 1 species